UACGAAGGGGGCAAGCGUUGUUCGGAAUUACUGGGCGUAAAGGGCGCGUAGGCGGCUUACCAAGUCAGGCGUGAAAUUCCCGGGCUCAACCUGGGGGCUGCGCUUGAUACUGGUGAGCUUGAAUGCGGGAGAGGAUAGUGGAAUUCCCAGUGUAGAGGUGAAAUUCGUAGAUAUCGGGAGGAACACCAGUGGCGAAGGCGACUUCCUGGCCUGUUCUUGACGCUGAGGCGCGAAAGCUAGGGUAGCAAACGGG
rnacentral:rRNA from 1 species